AGGGGCAGCCUACACUUGUUCAGCACCGUAAGGUGACAAAUUGCCCAAAGUGCAGUACGUCCGUGCCAUACAGCAGUACCGCUCGCACCUGUUUUUUUUUUUUUUUUUUUUUUUGUAGGAGACAAGUCCGCUAUUUAUUAUACCUGUGCCACAGUCUAUACGUGAGAAAAUUCAGGAGGCUCAUCACGCGUUCAGUUACCAGAAUUGGCAUGGUCAUCGGCUUCAAACGCAUUCGUAUGUUAGUUUAUUAAAUAAAACAAUAAAAAGAGCAUUAUUGGUAGCAUUUUUAAUAUGGAAUAUAUAAUUGUCACGAAAAUAAAAGAUAAAUGUUACUAUUCGUCGAAAAAUCACCGUCUCCUCGCGGACCAUGUGUUUGACAGUAGCUCAGGGCCGGGGAGCAUCAGCUGAGGCAGCCAUUUUGAAUGGACGACAGAGCAAGCUCUACCAUACUUAGAGCGCAACUGCUCUCCCUGACCCCUCCUACGGCCAGCAACCUUCACAGAGUGCCCGGUCGUUGGUAGAUGUCAGCCGAUGUCGCCAACAUGAACGAACCCUCCAUCGACUACCCAGACCCCGUGGAUGACUGACCAUCCUAAACAGUUGGGAGAAGGGUUCGCUUUCAGUUCCUGUCAGGAUCAGAAAACGAAGAUCUCGAGGCUUCCAGUCACAAACAACCCAAGGUCACAGUGGGUAACACCAUACACCUCAGUCCCACAGUCACACAAACACGUUCCCAACCUCUCCUUGCAUAACUCCACAUUCAAGUAAAGAAUAGCGCCAGAGUUUUCAUUAAUGCCUCCAAAAUUAAAGACGCCAAAAUAUAACUACUUGUGAUCCGAAAAUCAAAGGAUCGGGGAAGAUCUUUCCCUUAAAUCAAAGAGAAUGUGACUUAAAAAAAAACAAAAAAACUACUUCUUGAUAAGAAGUCCGCCUCCUUCCCCCCAUUCCACCCCGAACUCUCCCUAAUCACUCAAGCAAGCUUGGAGGCCUGUGGGGUUUAGGGAGUGGGGGGUUGAAAAAUAAGUGAAAUAAGGGCGUUAAAAAAUCUAAGAAAAUUUACCUUAAUAUUUCAAAUUUCCCUAACCUAUCCUAGCCCCUAGACCCCUCCUGUUUGGACGUUAAUGUAACCUAGCAUAACCUAACCUAGCUGGUGGGGUUGCGCCCCCCCCUCCCUGGAUCCCCCACCGGUAGGAUGUUAACCUAACCUAGCAUAACCUAACCUAAUCUAACCUGACCUGACCUAGCAUAACCUAAUAUACCUAAUCUCACCUAACCUAGCAUAACCUAACCUAACAAGGGACCUUAAAAAUGAUACCAUUGUCUUACAGGUAUGGUGUGGAGAUUCUCAGGGCGAUGGAGGUGGAUACAGUUUGUCAGCUCCCUUAAUAAACACAUGGAACCUCUUCCUUAUGUCUGUAUAUGUCUGGACCUAUGCCUUGGCAAAUCAUACUUCAUGGGAGCAGAGUUUUCAUUUGGACCUUACUUCCAUUAAUCAUCUGAUUCCCAAAUCUCACUCUAAAGUCACCAUCCAGCUUGACCUAGAUGGCACCUUGAAGACUCAGGAUGGGAAAAAUUCGCUGCAUCUCUCUCGGCCACACCUCCAUACAAGAGAGAGAGAAGUCAUGAAACCUCUUAAAAGAAUGAAAAACAAGGCAACCAGGCCAGAUAAGAUCCCGGUGGAGGCUUGGAGGGCUCUGGGAUAUGAAGGAGUAGAUUUACUGUGGAAGUUGAUGUGCAAGAUACAGGAGCAGGAAGAUAUUCCAGAUGAGUAGAGGGAGAGUGUGUUGGUACCUAUUUUCAAGAAGAAAGGAGAUGUUCAAGAGUGUGGAAACUACCGUGGAAUUAAAUUACUAUCACAUACGAUGAAGAUCUGGGAAAGGAUAAUGGACAAGAGACUAAGGUUGUAGGUUGAGGUUUCCAUUGCCCGGAAAAGGAACAACAAGCCCAGUAUUUAUAUUGAGGCAAAUGGCUGAAAAGUACAGAGAAAAACAGAAGGAACUACAUAUGGUUUUCAUAGAUUUGGAGAAGGCCCAUGACAGAAUACUGAGGCAAGAGCUGUGGAGAUGCCUGAGAAAAAGGAAGGCACUGGAAAAAUAGUAAGACGGGGGAAGGAAAUGUAUAGGAGUGUCAAGAUGUGUGAAGAGUGGAAUAGGCACAACAGACAGCUUUGGAGUGGUGGAGCAGCAUCAGGGUUUUGCGUUGAGUCCCUUCCUCUUCAACAUUGUGAUGUAUGUGCUGACUGAGGAUGUAUGAGUGGGAACACUGUGGGACAUGAUAUAAGCAGAUGAUGAUGUUUUAGUGGGUGAAUCGAAAGAAGGGAUAGACUGGAUAAGUGGAAGUUAGCAUUGGAGAAUAGAUGGGUGAAGAUAAGUAGAACAAAGACAGAAUAUAUGAAGUGUACAGAGGAGGAGGAGAAUAGAAGUGAAAGCAUCAAGCUGGAUGGAGUGGAGCUAAAGAGAGUGGAUGCCUUCAAGUAUCUGGGAUAAGGAAGUAAUUAGAGGGAUCCAAGUGAGAUGGAGGAGCUGGAGGGAUGUAUCAGGGGUAUUGUAUGAGAGGAAAAUGCCAGUGAAGUUAAAGGAAAGGUUUACAAAACUGGUGAGACCAGCAAUGACAUAUGCGAAGAAAGUGAGGAGAGGAUGGAAGUGGCAGAAAUGAGGAUGUUGUGUUGGUUGUGUGGUGUGAUGAGGGAGAACAGAAUCAGCAAUACAAGGAUCAGAGGAGAGAUUUUGAAGAAAACACAGGAAGCAAGGCUUAUAUGGUAUGGGCCUGUAAUGAGAAGGAAUGGAGCAAGUGAUCAGAGGAAAGUCCUGGGUACGAAAGUGCAAGGAAGGAGGAGAGGAAGACCCAAGAUUAGUUGGAAAAAUUGCAUACAAGAUGAUAUGAGAGAGAAGGGACUAGAUAUCAAGAUAGCAGAUGACAGAGGAAAUUGGAGGCAGCUCAUCAAAAACAGCGACCCCACAUAGAGAUGGGCUAAUAAGCUGACGAUGAGGAGGCGGCAGCUCCAUCGAUCAGUCCCCUGUCAUGUAUUAUAAUUCAUUGCUCAUCCAUACCAAAGCUUGGGUAGCUUGAAACUGGUUGAACAAGGUUUGUUAUCUGUGAGCAAAUGUGACAUGACCUCAUUCACUGUCUGGGCCAAAGAGAAAUGGCAAAGAGUAACAGGGAUUUGAAUUGAAGAGGCACAUCCCUGAGCCCUUUCAUCACCUGUGAGCAUAGCUGAGGAAGUGGCUUCAGGUGAGAAAGGCUCAAGGAAGUCCCUCACCUGGCCAGUUAGAUCAAUGAAAGGAGGAAUGCCCACCUGCUCAAGGGAAAAAUUGUCUUCCGCCUCAUCCUCUUGACUCCAUACAGGAGGACAUGAGGGGCUAGACUCAGGAGUUGUAGGGGCACUACCAAUCCCUUCAGCUGUGCUGCUGCUCACUGGGAACUUAAUUUGUGUUGUACAAGGCCUGUUUGGCACAGUAUAUAUUACUAAAGUAGUGGUAUCCAUGGAGGAUGAAUGCUUGUAACGUGAUAUACAGCUCUGUAAAUGAACUAAACGAACACCAGAUACUGACAAAAGUUAGAGAGAGAGCUACUGAAAAGUAGCUGAGAAACGUGUCUUGUUUGCUGCACAAGAAAAAAAGUGAAUGAUGAAUGGAUAUUAUGGCAACCUACCUGUGGCUGGUUUUGCAGUCACAAAGGUGAGAUCAGUUCGUGGGUAAAGGAAAAUGAAAGGGGUAACAUGUUUCUUUUAUUCUCAGAUUGUGUAGCUGUGAUAUGUGUGUAAAGUUUGCUGUGUGAAUGAGGAUUUAGCAAUAAUUUAUAAUUAUGGGUAUUUGUAUGGGUAUUAACAAGAAGUUUCCUCAUCACACCUAAAUGUAGAAGCAAUGUUAGAUUCAGUACAAACUAAUUACUAUGUCAGUAUUUGGAGCUUUCAAAGGAGAAACUGACUUGUGAUCAAUAUAAAUUUUUCUGACAAUCAUCACCUCUCAGUGUUGCAUUGAUUUCUGGGUAGGAGUUGCAAUUGAGAUAUCUACCAUAUUGUGUAUAGCAUUUACAUUUAUCUUUUUGGAUCUAUGAACUUUUUUUGUUGUGACCUGUUUUGACUGUAGGAUUUUGGUGCUGAUAAGAAACAAUGAUGUGAAACUAAUUAAUUUUAUUAAUAUUACAGUUGAAACUUGAGUCUGUGUAUGUGGGUACACUAUUAUUGGAGUGGACACACACCAAAGCCUAACCUGCAAAGCACCAUUAAUAGGAAAUGAAAGGAAGAGGGAUGCUGCCAGUGAGGAGCGUGUGGACUUGGAUGAAAGGCCAGGGACUUAUAAUGAGACCAUGUGGGAGAUGCUCAGCAAGGAUGGUAUAGGCAAGUGUGGUCUGGUGGGCUGAGGUACAAGUAUGGAUUGACCUUGGAUGUUAUGGGACAGCAGGGCCCUCAUCAAAAGUAGCUGCCUGGCUCCAGGGUGCCAGUGAGGUGUUUAUUCACUCAUUCCUGAGUGGGUGGGAGGAUGGCAGGCUCCUAAUGUGGUGGUGUUGGCACAGCAUCUCUCUCUGUGGUGAAUUGGGGUGGGGUGGUGUAUGCUGGCAUCUGCAUGGAUAGAGGUGAUGGGUGAGGAUUUCAUAUACCUGCAGUGAAAUCCUCAGGGCAUCAUUUUGGAUGAUGUACAGUUUGGCUAGGGUGGAUGGUGCUGCUGAACUGUGUAUGGUGCUACCAUACACCAAUUUGGCCCUGAUGGUGGCGAUGUAGUACUGAAGGAGGAGGUCACUGCUUGGUCCCCACCAUAUACCUGCGAUCUUUUUCAUCACAUUCAACCUAUUGUUGCAGGAAGUGCGGAGGUACUCCACGUGCCUGGACCAGGACAAUUGGGGGCCAUCCAGCUGCAGUCCCAGGAGAGUGUGUGGUGGUGGUGAUGGUGUAGGAGAUGCCUUUCCACACAUGAUUGAGGGUGGUGCUGGUGAAGAUUUUAGGACGAAACACAUGGUAACCCAGGUGGGCACCCAGUCACCCAGGAUUGUCGCUGCUUCUUGGAGGAGCACCUGUGCCUCUGCUGAUGUUGGUGCCCUGCUGACGAUGGUAAUGUCUCAUCAGCAGAGAUGAGAUGGUGUGAGUGGGUAGGCAAGGAGAGGUCAGAAAGGAGGACAUUGAAGAGUAGGAUGGAGCCUUGUGGGACACCUCUUAAUAUGGGAUGUGGAGUGGAGAUGGAGGCACCUAUAGCCACCUGAAAGGAGUGGCCCAUAAGGAAGUCAUGGAGCCAAGUUAGAGUGGGUCCCUGGAUGCCCAUUCCUGCCAGCUUAUAGAGAAUACCCUCAUGAGGUGCUUGGGGAAAGGGGCUAGCAGAGGAAGGUGGUCAAUAGCAGAUGAUGACUUCCCAUUUAUGGGGCAGUAGUAAUGGUCAUGGUGGUGAAGAGAAUGUCACUGAGGAAUAGAUACAGUCAGUGUCAUACAAGACAUGAGCAUCACAUUACACAAAAUGGCAACUUGCUUCUUCUUGGUCUCAAGAAAUCUGCUGGGAGAAAAUGACUAUAUGACAAUUUAGGUUAGCCCCUCAUAUGUUUUUAAAAGCAUAGAAUAAUGGAUUCAUUGUUUGAUAUAUUGACAUAAAGGGAGAGUUACCUUUUGUGAUCACUCCUUGCUUUGGCUAACAAAACUGCUUUGUUUCUUAAAGUAAUCUGUUGAGUUGAUGUGCAAUGCCUGGAAAAUAUACAAGCUCUGGUUACAUAGUACAACUGCUAGUUUCACUAGAAUGUUGAAACAAAUAGAAAAAAUAAGCUGUUUAACUAUUGCCAGUAAAAAGACUGACUAUGUUGGUAAAUAAAUGGAGUGAUGAGGGAUGAGGAUGUACCUCACUAUAACCAUGGUGGUGGUGGGCCACCCCAAAAAGCUUGACAACACCCCAUACAUGGUAUUAAGAGACAAUUGAAGGUAUAUCUCCAGCUUACAGCAAAACAACUAAAGAAACAAAUAUUUUGGGGUGCCCCACGUGAGGCACAUCUUUGCAUCCUUCAUUGCAGUAUUUCUUCACCAAUGCAUCCAUGGUCUUUUCACUGGCAAAAGUUAUAUUUCUCAUUUUCUCUAUUUCACCAUUUUAGUGAAACUAACACUCUAUUAUGUAAUCAUGGCCUCUAUAUUUUCCAGGCAUCACACAUCACCUCAGUCGAAUAUUGUUUAAAACAAACACAGCCAUUUUGUUAGCUGAAGCAAGGAAUGGUCAUAGAAGAUAAUUCUCCCUUAGGUCAAACACUGAAUCUGUUAUUCUGUGCUUUCAAAAACAUAAUGAGCUAACCUAAGUUGCCAUAUAGUAAUCUUUUUCCUGCAGUUUUUGAGACUGCAGGAGGAAGUUGUCAGUUUGCCAGUUACCAAAAGGGUGAGAAUCAGAAGAGGAUUUGGUGGGUAGUGGGCAUACAUGAUGGAUGACCAAAUGUGGGUGGGAGGUGGGGAGGCUGGAACUCAUCACAAGUGCAGCAGGAGAUGGUGGUGGAGGAUGAGGAGGAACACCAGGAGUAGAGUCAGCCACCAUGAGCAGCUCCUGCAAGACACCAUAUUUGUUAGAGAUGACAACCAAAAUGUAUGGUGAGGCAGUAAUAUUAUGUAAAAAAAUUGUUAAAUAAAUACAUUUAAGUUCUGUA